AGCUCAGGAUGCUGUCCCACUCGAAGCCCUCCUACUUCCACUUCUUGACUACCAGGACUCGGGGGAGAUGGAGGCAGAAAGAUCCGAAGAAGCCCAAGGUUAUCAUCAACCACAUAGCCAAAUUCAAGGCUAGUUUGAGCUAGAUGAGAUCCUGGGCAGGAAAUGGGGAGAUUGGUGGCAAUGUGUAGUAUAUAUGUUAACAUGCCCAAUAAUUCUGAAUGACAAAUGGGUGGGCUUCUGGUAAAGAAAGAAAGAAGAUAAAUAAAUAACUGAGACUCCAGCCUGUCACCCUAGCACUUGGCAGGCAGAGACAGGAGGAUCAGGGCACCAAGACUGGCCUCAGCUACUCAACAAGUUUGA
rnacentral:lncRNA from 1 species